rnacentral:rRNA from 2 species
UACUCGAGUGGCGAACGGGUGAGUAACACGUGGGUGAUCUGCCCUGCACUUCGGGAUAAGCUUGGGAAACUGGGUCUAAUACCGGAUAGGAGCCAUCUUUAGUGUGGUGGUUGGAAAGUUUUUUCGGUGUAGGAUGAGCUCGCGGCCUAUCAGCUUGUUGGUGGGGUAAUGGCCUACCAAGGCGGCGACGGGUAGCCGGCCUGAGAGGGUGUACGGCCACAUUGGGACUGAGAUACGGCCCAG